rnacentral:lncRNA from 1 species
GAAAGAAAAGAAAAAAUGAAAAAAGGAAGAGAGGGAAGAAUGAAAAACUAUCAAUCAUAGGGCUUGACUAAAGUCUACAGAUAAAGAUCUGAUAUCUAGGAGGAAUUUAUCAUUAAAAGAAGACUAAAAAAUGCACCAUACUAAAUUCUGUGAUACUUAUUGAGUAAGCCAUGCAAUGUGAUGUAUCAUAAAUAUUUUAAGUCUGCAAGUUACAAUUAAUAUAAAAUUGGUUAUGUCUGUAUAUUAAGACUUUUAUUCUGAUCCCUAGCAUAUUCAAAAUGUGAAAAAUUUAUUUGAUUAAAUUGUCAGCUAAAUGUUUGGGGAAAUAAAUUCAACAGUCAGCUCAAAGGAAGAGGAUGCAACAUGGAAUAGCAAUAAUUCAUUUUUACCCAUGAGGUUUUAGGUGACUAAAGACAGAGAAUAAAUAUAAUUCAGUGUCUCCUAAAUCUAUGAGGGAUAGAAAGCAGAAGACCCCAAAGAAAAUAUGAAACUAUAUCAGUAUCUUAGUGUCUAGACAUACACUCUUGCAUUACAGCUAUUUGAGCAGGUUAAGCCAUGAGAUAAACCCCCUAUUGACUAAAACAUGCACAAAUCAAAUCCAUAAAUAGGUCAUCUCUCCCCAGUAAAAAGCAUUUGUUAAUAAAGAUACAGAUAACAAAUACUGCAUAGGAAAUAGAGUAAAUUCAAUAUGUAUAUGCUGAGUGGAAUGCAAAUUGAUUUAAAUAAAAAACAAUGUAGACUAACAUAUGAUUCAGUAGUCUCAUUUCUCAUUACUUAUCCAAGCUAAUGAAUAGAUAUUUACAUUCCAUAUAGGAUUAGAAUUAACAAUGCCUAAGAUCUAAAAACAUGUUAUUUUUCAACUGUUAAAAAGAGUGAGAAACUCUUGAAUGACUACACAGUGAAAUAUUCUUCAGCUACAGAAUGGGUGAAAUCCUUCAUGGGGAAUUGAGAUAAGUCUGUGCACUGAUGUAAGCUACUUACAGAAGAAUCCACUAUGUAUUACACUAUGGAUUAUUAAAAGAAUAGUCUUGCAGCUCUUCAGAAUAGAAUAGUGAUUGUCCCAGCCUGAGAAAAGAGAAGAGAAGUAUAGUAAAUCCCUAGGAAGUGAGUUAAAGUUAGAAAUUAACCCAAAGAUCAGGGUGUUAUUGAAUAGAAGGGUCGCUACCACU